AGGGGGCGGCCGCGAGGAGCCACCGCGCGCGAGCGGGCGCAGCGCGAGCGCUCCUGCGCCCCUGUGAGGCGGCGCCAUGCCGGGAGAGGGCCGGAGGAGAAAGCCUUGGCCCGGCGGGUUUCUGCCUUUCCUUCUCCAGGGAGCACUGGGCUUUUCCUUCCCAAUAGGAAGAGAUUGUUGAGUAAGACAUACAGUGCAAAGGAAGAAGAGUCCAGCUGCCCUAUCUACUUUGGGAUUUGUUUCUUGUGCUCUCAGGAACUGCAGGUGAUCACCCUUUUUUUGAGGCCGACCCUGUAGCAAGACCAAAAUUCAUCUCUCUUCAAGGAUAUGGAAGGCCCUGCCAUACUCUUGUUUUCUUUGUUGUACUGCUGCAUCCAGGAGAAAGGUCAGAUCCUUAACGUGGCUUAGUCCAUGUCUACACAAGCACUUACAUGGCAGGACUAAGAAGAAGAAACAGGACGGCAAACGAGGCAGGACUGUGUU